rnacentral:rRNA from 1 species
UAGCUUGAUCCUGGCUCAGGACGAACGCUGGCGGCGUGCCUAACACAUGCAAGUUGAGCGACGGACCGGGGCUUGCCCCGGGGCAAAGCAGCGAACGGGUGAGUAACACGUGGGUAACGUACCCCGAUAACCGGGACAACCCGAGGAAACUCGGGCUAAUACCGGAUGUGCUCUUCACACAUCAGUGAGUCGAGUAAAGGAAGCUUCGGCCUCCGUAUCGGGAGCGGCCCGCGGCCCAUUAGCUAGUUGGUGAGGUAACGGCUCACCAAGGCAACGAUGGGUAGCUGGUCUGAGAGGACGAUCACCCACACUGGGACUGAGACACGGCCCAGACUCCUACGGGAGGCAGCAGUGGGGAAUCUUGCGCAAUGCGCGAAAGCGUGACGCAGCAACGCCGCGUGGGGGAAGAAGGUUUUCGGAUUGUAAACCCCUUUCAGGAAGGACGAAGGUUCGGCAGUUAAUAGCUGAUCGGAUUGACGGUACUUCCACAAGAAGGUCCGGCUAACUACGUGCCAGCAGCCGCGGUAAUACGUAGGGACCAAGCGUUGUCCGGAAUCAUUGGGCGUAAAGCGCGCGUACGCGGCCCGGUNAGUCCGUUGUAAAAGUCAGAGGCUCAACCUUUGAAUGCCGAUGGAUACUGCCGGGCUAGAGUCCGGA